ensembl:misc_RNA 7SK 7SK RNA
GGAUAUGAGAGAUGAUCUGACUAUGGUAUCUGUCACCCCAAUGAUUGCCAGCAUUGAUUUGGCUGAUCUGGCAGGCUGGGCAGGUGUCCCCUUCUUCUCUCUCCACUCCAAGUACAUCCCUCUCAGAACUGUGUGCUUAGUGGAGAAGGAUAAUCUUCCCCAAUAGAGGAGGUUCAGUCUUUGGUCAAGAAUACAUGAGUGGAUCUUCUCUCCUGAUAGAAUCUCCAUACAAGCUCUCAAGGUUCGUUUAUAGGAGAACAUAGGGUAGACAAGCUUCCAAGACUCCAGAUACAUCCACGAGGUGCUGCAUGUAUUGGUCUGCCUUUCU